UCCCUGGUGGCUCAGAUGGUAAAGCGUCUGCCUACAAUGCGGGAGACCCGGGUUCAAUCCCUGGGUUGGGAA
rfam:TPA: Bos taurus chromosome 9, whole genome shotgun sequence.